ACUUAAAUAGUUUAUUUUAAUAAAACAUUGAUUUGUGGUAUCAAAAAAAUAUUUAAAUUUUUAUAUUUUAAGUU
rnacentral:tRNA from 1 species